GACCGCUCCGGUAGCCUAGUGGUUAGAGCGUAAGCCUCGGAUGCGUUAGGGCGCGGUUUUCGAACCCCGGCCAAGUCA